rnacentral:misc_RNA from 1 species
GAACUGCGAUAAGUAAUGUGAAUUGCAGAAUUCAGUGAAUCAUCGAGUCUUUGAACGCACAUUGCGCCCCCUGGCAUUCCGGGGGGCAUGCCUGUCCGAGCGUCAUUGCUGCCCUUCAAGCCCGGCUUGUGUGUUGGGUCGUCGUCCCCUCCGGGGGACGGGCCCGAAAGGUAGCGGCGGCACCGCGUCCGGUCCUCGAGCGUAUGGGGCUUUGUCACCCGCUCGAUAAGGACCGGCCGGGCGCCAGCCGGCGUCUCCAACCUUUUUUUCUCAGGUUGACCUCGGAUCAGGUAGGGAUACCCGCUGAACUUAAGC